UACGAAGGGGGCUAGCGUUGUUCGGAAUCACUGGGCGUAAAGCGCACGUAGACGGCUUGUUAAGUCAGGGGUGAAAUCCUGGAGCUCAACUCCAGAACUGCCCUUGAUUCUGGCAAGCUGGAGUGUAGGAGAGGUUGGUGGAACUGCGAGUGUAGAGGUGAAAUUCGUAGAUAUUCGCAAGAACACCAGUGGCGAAGGCGGCCAACUGGCCUACUACUGAUGCUGAGGUGCGACAGCGUGGGGAGCAAACAGG
rnacentral:rRNA from 1 species